rnacentral:tRNA from 1 species
GGGGAUUUAGCUCAGUGGUAGAGUGCUUGCCUAGCAAGCGCGAGGCCCUGGGUUCGGUCCCCAGCUCUG